GAUGAACGCUGGCGGCGUGCCUAAUACAUGCAAGUCGAGCGAACAGACGAGGAGCUUGCUCCUCUGACGUUAGCGGCGGACGGGUGAGUAACACGUGGAUAACCUACCUAUAAGACUGGGAUAACUUCGGGAAACCGGAGCUAAUACCGGAUAACAUGUUGGACCGCAUGGUUCAACAGUGAAAGACGGUCUUGCUGUCACUUAUAGAUGGAUCCGCGCCGCAUUAGCUAGUUGGUAAGGUAACGGCUUACCAAGGCAACGAUGCGUAGCCGACCUGAGAGGGUGAUCGGCCACACUGGAACUGAGACACGGUCCAGACUCCUACGGGAGGCAGCAGUAGGGAAUCUUCCGCAAUGGGCGAAAGCCUGACGGAGCAACGCCGCGUGAGUGAAGAAGGUCUUCGGAUCGUAAAACUCUGUUAUUAGGGAAGAACAAAUGUGUAAGUAACUAUGCACGUCCUGACGGUACCUAAUCAGAAAGCCACGGCUAACUACGUG
rnacentral:rRNA from 1 species